rnacentral:misc_RNA from 1 species
UGCUCGCGCAUCGAACUACCUACCACCUAUCCUUCUCAGUUAAUUCACGGGCGAUGUUACGCUCGAUGAUGAGUUCCGGGGCCUGUGUUUCGUACCUAAUUUGAAGGAAUUGUUGAGUUUGGUUUACACCUUUGCCCGCGGCUUCUCCUUCGUGGGGAAGUCGUGGGCACAAACAUCGGCGCUUGUUCACCUCUCGUCAUCGCAUUUGUUGCCUUGCUCGCAUUGGUGAAUGAGUUGCGGGUUGAAAUCUCGGAUGCGGAAAAGUUGUCGACGGUGACUCGAAGUGAUUCAGUCCCGCCAAAGCUCAUCCGUCCUUCGGGCAAAAGAUGACGGUCAAGACCUCGUCCUUUCUCUCUUUCCAUUGCGUUUGAGAGGAUGUGGCGGGGAAUUGCCGUGAUCGAUGAAUGCUACCUGGUUGAUCCUGCC